UAGACAACCUACCCUUGAGAUGGGGAUAACAUUUCGAAAGGAAUGCUAAUACCCAAUGCCGCCUUGGCUCUGCGGAGCCAAGGUGAAAAGAGGCCUCUGAUUUAAGCUUCUGCUCAAGGAGGGAUUUAUGUGCUAUUAGCUUGUUGGUGGGGUAACGGCCCACCAAGGCUACGAUGGCUAGCCGACCUGAGAGGGUGACCGGCCACAUUGGGACUGAGACACUGCCCAG
rnacentral:rRNA from 1 species